UACGAAGGGGGCUAGCGUUGCUCGGAAUCACUGGGCGUAAAGGGCGCGUAGGCGGAUCUUUAAGUCGGGGGUGAAAGCCUGAGGCUCAACCUCAGAAUUGCCUUCGAUACUGGAGAUCUUGAGACCGGAAGAGGUGAGUGGAACUGCGAGUGUAGAGGUGAAAUUCGUAGAUAUUCGCAAGAACACCAGUGGCGAAGGCGGGUCUCUGGACAGUUCCUGACGCUGAGGCACGAAGGCCAGGGGAGCAAACGGG
rnacentral:rRNA from 1 species